UUCAAAAUACUUGUCAGGUUCGGUUUUUCACUUUCUGGGUAACCCAGAUUUUUACUCGGUCAAGCCCGGUCAACGGGUUUUGACCGUUAAUAACUCCUGAUCCUGACAUAAAAUAGCUCUGAUUUCUUUUGCAGACUAAAGACCAUAUACCAGGCUAUAACUUAAAGCUUUUAAAUAACAAAAACAACAAACGAGUAACGAUCUGUGGCGCCUGACAUUAGGUUGUCAGACCACAGAUUUUGUUCUUGAACAAUUUUAGAAAAACGUACUUUUACUCACUUUGGUGCUAUGGAUCCAUCAUGGAUCAUCAUAUAACCACUAAAAACAUCUUCUAGCAAUAUCUUAAACACAUAAACACAAAAAUUUCUCAAGCAACAAAGAUCAAAAAUAAAAACUUGGUUAUACCUUUUU
rnacentral:lncRNA from 1 species